rfam:Picea glauca, whole genome shotgun sequence.
GUAACGGUGUCUUUAGACACUACCCUUUGUCUUCGAAACUUUUUGU